CGCGGGGUGGAGCAGUCCGGAAGCUCGUCAGGCUCAUAACCUGAAGGUCGUAGGUUCAAAUCCUACCCCCGCAACCA
rnacentral:tRNA from 1 species